rnacentral:tRNA from 1 species
GGAGGGUUGGCGGAGCGGUCGAUCGCGGCGGUCUUGAAAACCGUUGACCAUUCACGUGGUCCGGGAGUUCGAAUCUCUCACCCUCCGCCA